rnacentral:rRNA from 1 species
ACUCCUGCGGGAGGCAGCAGUGGGGAAUUUUGGACAAUGGGCGAAAGCCUGAUCCAGCAAUGCCGCGUGAGUGAAGAAGGCCUUCGGGUUGUAAAGCUCUUUUGUCAGGGAAGAAACGGUGAAAGCUAAUAUCUUUUGCUAAUGACGGUACCUGAAGAAUAAGCACCGGCUAACUACGUGCCAGCAGCCGCGGUAAUACGUAGGGUGCAAGCGUUAAUCGGAAUUACUGGGCGUAAAGCGUGCGCAGGCGGUUUUGUAAGUCUGAUGUGAAAUCCCCGGGCUCAACCUGGGAAUUGCAUUGGAGACUGCAAGGCUAGAAUCUGGCAGAGGGGGGUAGAAUUCCACGUGUAGCAGUGAAAUGCGUAGAUAUGUGGAGGAACACCGAUGGCGAAGGCAGCCCCCUGGGUCAAGAUUGACGCUCAUGCACGAAAGCGUGGGAAGCAAACAGGAUUAGAUACCCCAGUAGUCCC